AGCGGCGGACGGGUGAGUAAUGUCUGGGAAACUGCCUGAUGGAGGGGGAUAACUACUGGAAACGGUAGCUAAUACCGCAUAACGUCGCAAGACCAAAGAGGGGGACCUUCGGGCCUCUUGCCAUCAGAUGUGCCCAGAUGGGAUUAGCUAGUAGGUGGGGUAAUGGCUCACCUAGGCGACGAUCCCUAGCUGGUCUGAGAGGAUGACCAGCCACACUGGAACUGAGACACGGUCCAGACUCCUACGGGAGGCAGCAGUGGGGAAUAUUGCACAAUGGGCGCAAGCCUGAUGCAGCCAUGCCGCGUGUAUGAAGAAGGCCUUCGGGUUGUAAAGUACUUUCAGCGAGGAGGAAGGCAUUGUGGUUAAUAACCACAGUGAUUGACGUUACUCGCAGAAAAAGCACCGGCUAACUCCGUGCCAGCAGCCGCGGUAAUACGGAGGGUGCAAGCGUUAAUCGGAAUUACUGGGCGUAAAGCGCACGCAGGCGGUCUGUCAAGUCCGAUGUGAAAUCCCCGGGCUCAACCUGGGGACUGCAUUCCAAACUGGCAGGCUAAAGUCUUGUAUAGGGGGGUA
rnacentral:rRNA from 1 species